UACAGAGGGGGCAAGCGUUGUCCGGAAUUACUGGGCGUAAAGCGUGCGUAGGUGGUGAGUUAAGUCUGUCGUGAAAGCCCCGGGCUCAACCUGGGAAUGGCGAUGGAUACUGGCUCGCUAGAGUGCGGUAGAGGAGAGUGGAAUUCCCGGUGUAGCAGUGAAAUGCGUAGAGAUCGGGAGGAACAUCAGUUGCGAAGGCGGCUCUCUGGACCAGCACUGACACUGAGGCACGAAAGCGUGGGGAGCAAACAGG
rnacentral:rRNA from 1 species